rnacentral:ncRNA from 1 species
GGAACUUAGAAGUACUUAAUGUUUUGUAUAAAAUCAGCAAUGUUUGAACACGAUGUUCAAACAAGCCGCCACUGAGCCAUGGAUGGCGAAUUGGCGGCGGUUGCGUAUAGGGGAAAUGUGUGUGUCAGAACAUUUAGUACUUCUUAGUUUC